rnacentral:rRNA from 1 species
CCCUUAGAUGUUCUGGGCCGCACGCGCGCUACACUGACGAAUGCAACGAGCUUAUAACCUUGGCCGAAAGGUCUGGGUAAUCUCCAAAUUUCGUCGUGAUGGGGAUAGAUUAUUGCAAUUAUUAAUCUUCAACGAGGAAUGCCUAGUAAGCGCAAGUCAUCAACUUGCGUUGAUUACGUCCCUGCCCUUUGUACACACCGCCCGUCGCUCCUACCGAUUGAAUGGUCCGGUGAAGCGUUCGGACCGUGGCCUUUGGACGGUUCGCCGUCUGUUGGCUGCGGGAAGUUCGUUAAACCUUAUCAUUUAGAGGAAGGAGAAGUCGUANCA